rnacentral:lncRNA from 1 species
AGGCAACAUCUCUAGCUUAGGCUGAGUCGUGGUGAGGCAGCUCUGGGUGAGGUGACAGGCUUGCCUGUACCUGAGAGCCUGAGACAGGACCCGGCCGGACGUGAGAAUCCUGUGUCUCAGUAGGAGUUCCCUGAGGGCUGGGAUCGCGGUAUGCACAGAUUGAUGGCCCAUUUGUGAAGCUGUAAGGAUCCCAGGACUCGGGGAGGCAGAACGCCAGGGACAGGUCAUCUGAACAAACAUGCCUUGGAAAAGUGAGGUCCAGUCUACAGAAGAAUUACAAGAUGAUACCCAAAAUGCCUGUAUCUCUGUUACCAGAGUUGCUGGAGCACGGACUAUGCAUGUGAUUUAAGAAAGAUGUUCAGGGCUGGUGAGAUGGCUCGGUGGGUAAGAGCACCCGACUGCUCUUCCGAAGGUCAGGAGUUCAAAUCCCAGCAACCACAUGGUGGCUCACAACCAUCCGUAAUGAGAUCUGACUCCGUCUUCUGGAGUGUCUGAGGACAGCUACAGUGUACUUUAAAUAAAUAAAUAAAUAAAUAAAUCUUAAAAAAAAAAAAAGAAAAAAAAGAAGAAGAAGAAAGAAAGAAA